ACGACAGUCGCUGCCUGGUGAAGUUGACCGAAGAAAAAAGGACAGAGUUACAGUGCAUUUCUGGUACAGCAAGCAAGGUUGCAUGUCACAUCGCAGACCGGGGGGAGAAAAGACCCAGGCGGACAGUUUCCUUAGGCAGCGUGACAUCACUUCUGGAAAACAGCAAGACACGAGUCACAACAUUCACUCGGCAUGGAUUCUGUUGGAGAUGAAACCCACUGCCACCAGCGCCAACUUCUCAAUUCCCCUCCCCCCAAA